CCAAUUAGCUAGAUGGUGAGGUAACGGCUCACCAUGGCGACGAUUGGUAGCCGGACUGAGAGGUUGAACGGCCACAUUGGGACUGAGACACGGCCCAGACUCCUACGGGAGGCAGCAGUGGGGAAUAUUGCACAAUGGAGGAAACUCUGAUGCAGCGACGCCGCGUGAAGGAAGAAGGUCUUCGGAUUGUAAACUUCUGUUGUCAGGGAUGAUAAUGACGGUACCUGACGAGAAAGCCACGGCUAACUAC
rnacentral:rRNA from 1 species